rnacentral:rRNA from 1 species
GACGAACGCUGGCGGCGUGCUUAACACAUGCAAGUCGAACGGAAAGGCCCUGCUUUUGUGGGGUGCGCGAGUGGCGAACGGGUGAGUAACACGUGAGUAGCCUGCCCUUGACUUUGGGCUAACGUCAGGAAACCGGGGGUAAUACCGGAUAGGAGCUCCUGCGGCAGGGUGGGGGUUGGAAAGUUUCGGCGGUGGGGGUGGGGCUCGCGGCUUACCAGGCUGUGGGUGGGGUAGUGGCCUACCACGGAUUUGACGGCUAGCCGGCCUGAGAGGGUGACCGGCCACAUUGGGGCUGAGGUGAGGCCCAGCCUACUACGGGGGGCAGCAGUGGGGAAGAAUGCACAACGAGCGGAAGCCUGAUGCAGCAACGACGCGGGGGGGAUGAAGGACUUCUGGUUGUAGACCGCUUUCGCCUGUGACGAAGAGGGAGUGACGGUAAUGGGUAAAGAAGCACCGGCUAACUACGUG